rnacentral:rRNA from 1 species
AUUCCAGCUCCAAUAGCGUAUAUUAAAGUUGUUGCAGUUAAAAAGCUCGUAGUUGGAUUUCUGGUGGGAGCGAUCGGUCUGGCGCUUAGCGCGAGUACUUGCAUCGUCUCCGGCCAUCCUUGGGGAGAGUUUGUCUGGCAUUAAGUUGUCGGGCAGAGGAUCCUCAUCGUUUACUGUGAAAAAAUUAGAGUGUUCAAAGCAGGCUUAUGCCGUUGAAUAUAUUAGCAUGGAAUAAUAAAAUAGGACUUUGGUACUAUUUUGUUGGUUUGCGCACCAAAGUAAUGAUUAAUAGGGACAGUCAGGGGCACUCGUAUUCCGCCGAGAGAGGUGAAAUUCUCAGACCAGCGGAAGACGAACCACUGCGAAAGCAUUUGCCAGGGAUGUUUUCAUUG